AAAAAUAAACGCUGUAGCCUUCGGAAACGGUUGUUUCGGCUCCUGUUCUGUGGGCGGCUGAGGACCGCGGGCUGCCCUGCUCCGAGAACAGGCCCACCAGUGUUGCUGUGGUCGCAGCCAGGAGGACUUAGGUCAGGGGUUCUAGAAACAAAAUAAGGGAGUUGCCAUAUCCCCAGAGCUCAAAGGAGUCUAGGAAAUCACCCGGGCCAGAAAACUGAGUGGUGCUAGGGGCCAACGUCGGGCUCCAGAGUCCUGCAAGCAGGGAAACAGCGACACCUACUGGCCCUUGAGCACCUUCGCUUGGGUCGUCGGGGCGGCCCUGGCCUGGGAGAACCUGCAUUCUCUGGACUUGGGUGGCUUCAAGAUCUUUAUGUUCAAGACACUCGGGACUUCUAUAGCCAUUAUUGAACAAAGAAAGAAAACGCUAUAGUUUCAAGAUGGUCCUAGGGGAGCCGCAGAAGGGACCUGAUAACACAGGCAAUGCACACAACCUCUAUUCGAAGAUCCUUUCUUCUGGAACCCUGGGGACCUGCAAACACUGUUGACCACAGCCAAAGUGAGACCCAAGCGAAAUCCUAAUUUACUUGAGUCUAUAUUACAGUCCUCUUCAGCACCGCACCUAUCUCAGCGCCAAACGAAGACUGCAUCUUUACAAAUGUCCGGCACCAUAGGCCUGUCAGUUGCUUAAGUCCUUUGGGAUGCCAUUUGCACCUUUAUUGUACUGACUUCAUCCAGAAAUUGACAGCUUUUCUUUUCUUUAAUUCCUCAUGUUGGGACAAACUUAGAGAGAGGGUGCUGUUUUUAACUCACACACACACACACACACCACAAAGCAUCUAUAGCAAAGUAGAUAUGUUAAAGAAUAUGCACUUUAUAUAACAUAUAUCUGAGUGCAAUGUGUGUAUUCUAGACUUUGUCUUAUGAGUUUUUCCCAUAAACCAAAUGGUCAUUUUCUGAGUAGAUGUGGUGCAGGUGGGCUGGGCACUGAGUGGGGGAGGGAGGGGACCCAGCAGCCCCUCCCACUCUCUAUGUUUCCUUUUCAUGGGCCAGGUUCUGAGCAGGCAGGGGCCUCUGAAACCUUACUGUGGUUCAGAUAACUAACUUGUUCAAAUGCUAGGGCAGAUGACUUCCUCGUAGAACACUGGAGCAUUUGAAGCCUUUGAGGUUUCAAUUUAAAAUGUCACUUAUUAACAAAUCCUAGUUUUUAAAACAAUAAAUGCACCUGUUAAUCUAAGGUCAAGAUUUUCUAUCGAAUACCCUUAGCUGUAGAAUACUGAGUGGAACAACGGUCUAAAAUAUCUCACACAUGUGAGGAAGAAGCUUUGGUAUAGCCACAUUAUUGUCUUCAUUUUGAAUAAUUGCAAAGGUUUGCUAAUUACAUUUUUCUUUAAAUAAAACAGGAAGCUCUUAGUUUCCCUAAAAACAGAUGAUUAAAAUAUAGUUUUCUAUGUUUUUUUUAUUAAAAAAAUAUCUCCCAAUUGUUCAUGAAGUCUCAGCUCAAUUUUAUAAAUGCAGUUUUUGUUCUAAUUUUCUUGAAAGUGGAUAGGAGUAUGUUCCGUAACAUAUGCACUCAAACCUUGAGAUAGACACUUAGCAAUCUGUGUGGUGUGUGAGUAAACUCACAUUGCUAAUACUGAAUAAGACAGAGCUCUAUUCUUAUGACAUUCCUUCUCAAUGAGCCUUAUAUCUUGCUGAGUACUAAGGUUUCUUCUUGAAAAAUGAAGCCUUCAUAGGAGAGAGAAGGAGAGGAAAAAGACUGCAGAACAAUUAGACUAUACUGGGCAGACACACACCAGGCAACCAAACCCAGUUCACAGGGGUUUUUAGGUCUUGCAAGCACCUUGGAAAAUGGCAGUGUUUCUUUUCCUUUCUCUGUGUGGGACUUUAGAAUGUAUUUUAUUUGUCACCCCAAAAUCAUAGCUAGAAUGGAUUCUGGUUUCACUGUCUUUGGUAUAACUCUAAACAUUAUUGAGCCCUGAUGUGAAAAAUACAGAAAAGUGGAACGUGUGCUUU
ensembl:lincRNA predicted gene, 26803